rnacentral:rRNA from 1 species
UGGGGAAUAUUGCACAAUGGGCGAAAGCCUGAUGCAGCGACGCCGCGUGCGGGAUGAAGGCCUUCGGGUUGUAAACCGCUUUUGAUUGGGAGCAAGCGAGAGUGAGUGUACCUUUCGAAUAAGCACCGGCUAACUACGUGCCAGCAGCCGCGGUAAUACGUAGGGUGCAAGCGUUAUCCGGAAUUAUUGGGCGUAAAGAGCUCGUAGGCGGUUUGUCGCGUCUGGUGUGAAAGUCCAUCGCUUAACGGUGGAUCUGCGCCGGGUACGGGCAGGCUAGAGUGCGACAGGGGAGACUGGAAUUCCCGGUGUAACGGUGGAAUGUGUAGAUAUCGGGAAGAACACCAAUGGCGAAGGCAGGUCUCUGGGUCGUCACUGACGCUGAGGAGCGAAAGCGUGGGGAGCGAACAGGAUUAGAUACCCUGGUAGUCCACGCCGUAAACGGUGGAUGCUGGAUGUGGGGCCCAUUCCACGGGUUCCGUGUCAGAGCUAACG